rnacentral:misc_RNA from 1 species
GUUUAACAGGGCUUGAUCUUCGAAGGCACAGGGAUCUUUCUUUUGGGCCAGGUGAAGUUAGAUUUGUUGACGCUAGCAGCAUACCUACCUAUAAGCAACCUGCAUCCACAGUUUAUAAGUGCUUAAACCCCCCUAGCUGUACAUGACAUGAUAAUCCUAAGCUUCGAUUUAACCAACAAGAAUGCAGGAUCAUAUCUUAUCAUUGUUGUUGAAGAUGGGCCCAGGCAGCUGUAUAGUUUUUCUUCAACCAAUGUUAUAAGAUUCAUUAGAUCAUAAUAGUGUAUCAAUUUGAAUGUCUUAUUGCUGCCAAAUGUACUUGAGAUGGUUUUUGAAUUUU